rnacentral:tRNA from 4 species
GGGGAUAUGGCGAAAUCGGUAGACGCUACGGACUAAAAUCCGUCGACUUUAAAAAUCGUGAGGGUUCAAGUCCCUCUAUCCCCA